UCCCAAACCCCUGUUUUCUCACCUCUUUUAAUGGGCAGCACGGUGGCCCAGUGCACAGCACUGCUACCUCAGAGCAAGAACAUCCUGGGUUCAGACCUUUGUGUGGAGUUUGCAUGUUCUCCCCGUGUUUGCGUGGGUUUCCCCUGGGUGCUCUGGUUUCAUCCCACCAUCAAAGACAGCCAUGCUAAGAUCCAUAAAUCUGCCAAAUAAUCUGCCUGCGAGUCUCUCUGUUUCCCCCUGCUCUCUCUGCCUGCCUGUGUCUCGUUGGCCUCAUGUCCCUCACCUGUGUGUCUCCUCCCAGCUCGUUAACCCUGUGUAUAUAUCCUUCCUUGUUUCCCCUCAGUGUUUGUCCGGUCAUUGAAGUGUGUAAACGCUCUGUCUCAUGUUGUAUUGUUUUGCCUGCCCUGCUUGUCAUGUCACCCUGUUUCUGUGGAUUUUGGGUUUCUGUUGAAUCACCUGUUUUAUUUGGACUCUGUUAUUUUGGAUUAUGGAUUCAGACACUCAGUUGUAAGUGUGCUCGCUUUUGUUUGUUGGAAUUAAACCUUCUUUGAACUGCA